GGCGGCGUGCCUAAUACAUGCAAGUCGAACGGUCUUUCUAUGGAAGCUUGCUUCCACUGAGAAGAUAGUGGCGAACGGGUGAGUAACACGUGGGUAACCUGCCCAUAAGAGGGGGAUAACAUCCGGAAACGGGUGCUAAUACCGCAUAGUUUUCUUGAUCGCAUGAUUGAGAAAGGAAAGACGGCCUUUGUGCUGUCGCUUAUGGAUGGACCCGCGGCGUAUUAGUUAGUUGGUGAGGUAACGGCUCACCAAGACGACGAUACGUAGCCGACCUGAGAGGGUGAUCGGCCACAUUGGGACUGAGACACGGCCCAAACUCCUACGGGAGGCAGCAGUAGGGAAUCUUCCGCAAUGGACGAAAGUCUGACGGAGCAACGCCGCGUGAGUGAAGAAAAGGUUUUUCGGAUCGUAAAACUCUGUUGUCAGAGAAGAACAAGUUGGAGAGUAACUGCUCCAGCCUUGACGGUAUCUGACCAGAAAGCCACGGCUAACUACGUGCCAGCAGCGGC
rnacentral:rRNA from 1 species